rnacentral:tRNA from 1 species
GCCCGGCUGGCUCAGUCAGUGGAGCACGUGACUCUUGAUCUUAGGGUUGUGAGUUCAAUCCCCAUGUUGGGCG